UGCAGUCCAAUCAAUGACUGAGGGGGCGUGUCGGCCGGUGAAAGACUUCCGUGAAGGCAGCUCUCGUGAGUGCUCGCUCCUCAGAGAUCGAUUCUCGUUAUUCGGAGUACAAAGAAGAGAAUUAAGAGACAGCCUACAAGACGGUGGACAGGAAGGACUUCCGAUUCAAGCGUGGAGCAAGAAAAACAACAAAGAAUACAAAUGAGAAGUAUCCUCCGACGCUAGCUGUGUCCCAAUUCAGGGGCAGCAUCCUUCGGAGUGCGCAUUAUAAGAGCAAUUACUUCACUACGCCGCGCGAAGCCUUUCCCAAAGUGUCGUCCAAAUGCUCCGCACAAAUGCUGCCUUCUUUUGCCUCUUCCUGGAGGACACAUCGCCACUAUCCUUCGCGGCUCUAAAUUGGCCAGAUUCAUUGUGCGCCCAAAGAGAAGAAAGCAAGAAAGAAAGAAAUAAUGGCGACCUCAAGUGGCGCCGAUCUCUCAUUUAAAUGGAGCAGAGAGUUUCAUCCCUGACCAAAAACGAACAUUUGUUCACAGGGCGAAAUAUUCCACUGCGGCUGGAUGGAAAACAGUUCUGGAAAAAAUGGGCCUGCAGGGGAAGGUCGAGGCCAGAAACAAGUGGGACCAUAUAAAGAUCCAGUACAAAGUAGCUGCAGGAUUGCUAAUAUCCAGGGACAGGAGAGGGGGUCAGCAGGAGGCCCAGCGCUGCUACUGCGUCCUGGUUUAUCCUCAUGGCUGAGGUGUUAGGACAGAGGCCUUCCACUGCCCUCCUGUCCUAACGCCUCCAUCCCUGAGGACACACCAGGGCCAAGUGACCAGGAGGAGGAGGAUGAUGACAAUGAGGACGAGAGCCAGCCAGGGCCGAGGAGGAGGAGGAGGAGGACAUGAGGCUGCAGAAAGGAUGGAGAGACUCUUCUCUGCUCCAGAGGACAAUCCUUACAUUAUAGCUGUUGUUAUUUAGUAAAUGUAUGGGUUAUUUUUAAAUUAUUUGUUCAUAAUUGUUCAUUUUAUAUAAUCAUGAAAUAAAAUAUUGUUCUAUUGUUA